rnacentral:rRNA from 2 species
GUGCUUGCAUCAUGAUUUACAUUUGAGUGAGUGGCGAACUGGUGAGUAACACGUGGGAAACCUGCCCAGAAGCGGGGGAUAACACCUGGAAACAGAUGCUAAUACCGCAUAACAACUUGGACCGCAUGGUCCGAGUUUGAAAGAUGGCUUCGGCUAUCACUUUUGGAUGGUCCCGCGGCGUAUUAGCUAGAUGGUGGGGUAACGGCUCACCAUGGCAAUGAUACGUAGCCGACCUGAGAGGGUAAUCGGCCACAUUGGGACUGAGACACGGCCCAAACUCCUACGGGAGGCAGCAGUAGGGAAUCUUCCACAAUGGACGAAAGUCUGAUGGAGCAACGCCGCGUGAGUGAAGAAGGGUUUCGGCUCGUAAAACUCUGUUGUUAAAGAAGAACAUAUCUGAGAGUAACUGUUCAGGUAUUGACGGUAUUUAACCAGAAAGCCACGGCUAACUACGUGCCAGCAGCCGCGGUAAUACGUAGGUGGCAAGCGUUGUCCGGAUUUAUUGGGCGUAAAGCGAGCGCAGGCGGUUUUUUAAGUCUGAUGUGAAAGCCUUCGGCUCAACCGAAGAAGUGCAUCGGAAACUGGGAAACUUGAGUGCAGAAGAGGACAGUGGAACUCCAUGUGUAGCGGUGAAAUGCGUAGAUAUAUGGAAGAACACCAGUGGCGAAGGCGGCUGUCUGGUCUGUAACUGACGCUGAGGCUCGAAAGUAUGGGUAGCAAACAGGAUUAGAUACCCUGGUAGUCCAUACCGUAAACGAUGAAUGCUAAGUGUUGGAGGGUUUCCGCCCUUCAGUGCUGCAGCUAACGCAUUAAGCAUUCCGCCUGGGGAGUACGGCCGCAAGGCUGAAACUCAAAGGAAUUGACGGGGGCCCGCACAAGCGGUGGAGCAUGUGGUUUAAUUCGAAGCUACGCGAAGAACCUUACCAGGUCUUGACAUACUAUGCAAAUCUAAGAGAUUAGACGUUCCCUUCGGGGACAUGGAUACAGGUGGUGCAUGGUUGUCGUCAGCUCGUGUCGUGAGAUGUUGGGUUAAGUCCCGCAACGAGCGCAACCCUUAUUAUCAGUUGCCAGCAUUAAGUUGGGCACUCUGGUGAGACUGCCGGUGACAAACCGGAGGAAGGUGGGGAUGACGUCAAAUCAUCAUGCCCCUUAUGACCUGGGCUACACACGUGCUACAAUGGAUGGUACAACGAGUUGCGAACUCGCGAGAGUAAGCUAAUCUCUUAAAGCCAUUCUCAGUUCGGAUUGUAGGCUGCAACUCGCCUACAUGAAGUCGGAAUCGCUAGUAAUCGCGGAUCAGCAUGCCGCGGUGAAUACGUUCCCGGGCCUUGUACACACCGCCCGUCACACCAUGAGAGUUUGUAACACCCAAAGUCGGUGGGGUAACCUUUUAGGAACCAGCCGCCUAAGGUGACA